rnacentral:rRNA from 1 species
AACGAACGCUGGCGGCAUGCCUAACACAUGCAAGUCGAACGAGACCUUCGGGUCUAGUGGCGCACGGGUGCGUAACGCGUGGGAACCUGCCCUUAGGUUCGGAAUAACUCCCCGACAGGGGUGCUAAUACCGGAUAAUGUCUUCGGACCAAAGAUUUAUCGCCUUUGGAUGGGCCCGCGUUGGAUUAGCUAGUUGGUAGGGUAAUAGCCUACCAAGGCGACGAUCCAUAGCUGGUCUGAGAGGAUGAUCAGCCACACUGGGACUGAGACACGGCCCAGACUCCUACGGGAGGCAGCAGUGGGGAAUAUUGGACAAUGGGCGAAAGCCUGAUCCAGCAAUGCCGCGUGAGUGAUGAAGGCCUUAGGGUUGUAAAGCUCUUUUACCCGGGAUGAUAAUGACAGUACCGGGAGAAUAAGCUCCGGCUAACUCCGUG